GUUCCUUCUCAUCCCACUUUUCCUUUUCAUUAUACCCGUCGUCGACGUGUUAUGGAUGAAUCUACUGACGUGCCAUCUACUUCUGGUGCACCGUCUUCCUCGUCCCAGCCGACUUAUGGUCUUCGGGCUCGACCUUGCCCUCCUCCUAAACGCUAUUCUCCUAGCCGAUAUGGCCUUUCGGUUGUACUUGAGCCUACCUCUUAUCGUGAUGCUGUUGUUCAUCCUGAAUGGCAGUUUGCGAUGGCAGAGGAGAUUGCCGCACUUGAGCGCAACGGCACAUGGGAUCUGGUUUCUCUUCCUUCCCGUGUUCGUCCCAUCACUUGUAAGUGGGUCUAUAAGAUUAAGACUCGCUCUGAUGGUUCUCUUGAGCGUUAUAAAGCUCGUCUU
rnacentral:rRNA from 1 species